ACGCUGGCGGCAGGCCUAACACAUGCAAGUCGAGCGGUAGAGAGAAGCUUGCUUCUCUUGAGAGCGGCGGACGGGUGAGUAAUGCCUAGGAAUCUGCCUGGUAGUGGGGGAUAACGUUCGGAAACGGACGCUAAUACCGCAUACGUCCUACGGGAGAAAGCAGGGGACCUUCGGGCCUUGCGCUAUCAGAUGAGCCUAGGUCGGAUUAGCUAGUUGGUGGGGUAAUGGCUCACCAAGGCGACGAUCCGUAACUGGUCUGAGAGGAUGAUCAGUCACACUGGAACUGAGACACGGUCCAGACUCCUACGGGAGGCAGCAGUGGGGAAUAUUGGACAAUGGGCGAAAGCCUGAUCCAGCCAUGCCGCGUGUGUGAAGAAGGUCUUCGGAUUGUAAAGCACUUUAAGUUGGGAGGAAGGGUUGUAGAUUAAUACUCUGCAAUUUUGACGUUACCGACAGAAUAAGCACCGGCUAACUCUGUGCCAGCAGCCGCGGUAAUACAGAGGGUGCAAGCGUUAAUCGGAAUUACUGGGCGUAAAGCGCGCGCAGGUGGUUAGUUAAGUUGGAUGUGAAAUCCCCGGGCUCAACCUGGGAACUGCGUUCAAAACUGACUGACUAGAGUAUGGUAGAGGGUGGUGGAAUUUCCUGUGUAGCGGUGAAAUGCGUAGAUAUAGGAAGGAACACCAGUGGCGAAGGCGACCACCUGGACUGAUACUGACACUGAGGUGCGAAAGCGUGGGGAGCAAAC
rnacentral:rRNA from 1 species